CUCAAAAGUAUAUAUUUUUUCAAUCUAGUAAGCACAGGUUUAACAAUCUUCAAAAGAAGUCCAUACUAUGUUUGGAGUACACAAAAGAAAACAUGAACAUGUUUCCAGAAAUAGGUUUGAGAAAGAGGCACCAAACCAAGAGGGGAUACUUAAAAUAUUAGUGAAUAUGAAUCUUGAUAGAUAUUUUAAAUGCUAAGAAUUCUAAAAAGCAUGUUUUCAUUUACCAAGCUAAUAUAAAAUUAUAACAAAAAAGUUAAAAUGCUGAAUUUAUAACUCCUAGAUUAUUUUAUAUUUCCUUUAUUCUAGGUCCUGACACCUAAUGAAUUCAUAAUGUUAAUCACCUCUAUUUUGAACCAACUAGGGGGCUUCCUUGGGGUAAGAUUUUAUCUCUAUUUAUAUUUAUAAAAGUAAGUGGCAAUAUCGAGAAAGGUAAUAACUCCUCUGAACUAUAAAAACACAUGGCAGAAUUAACCCAUCUUAAUUUAGUACUUUUUUUUUUUUUUUUACCACUUCAAAUACUUCUAUAAAGCCCUCAGAGGCAAAGUGGGAAAAAUAAAGUUCCAUGUUGUAAACAAGACAGUUCAAGGUCCAAUUUAGCAACAUUAAAGUACAGCAGAGUCACAUUAUUUUCUACUCCCAACCCACACAGUCACAUCAAUAUUAACACAUUAGCCAUAAAAUGGGAGAGACAGGUUUCAUAUAACUAUAAUCUGUAUUUUCUAUUUCAACAGAAAUAAUCCUGUCACUGUUAUGCCACAAAUUAUACAUGGUUAGUAAAAUCUCUAAGUAUUUUUUCUAU